UGAGGAUGCAGAGCUCCGAGGGUGGCUCACCUGGCCGGGCAGGGCUGGCCCAGCUCUCUGCCAUCUGGAAUUGCAUGGUGACACCCUGUGAGCUGUGCCAUCUCCUCUGUGCCAUGCUGUGACACCCUGGGCACCAGGGCUCAGGGAGCAGCUCAGGAUUUGCUGCCCUGGGCUGGGAUGAUGCUCCAGGGGCACCUGCUGCAAUCACACCACAGAAACCCUGGAGGGAGGAGGAGGAUGAGUAAGUGCUAGAGGAGAAUUCCUGCAGUGAUUUCACAGCAGAUGAAAGCAGCCAGAUAGGAGCUGUGCUGCCUGGAGCAAGGGGACAGGCACCCCCAGAGCCUGCAGCACUCCCAUUUCCUGGUGAUGGGGCACGUUUGGUAUUCCUGUCUGUCUGACAGGAACACGGGGAGAGGCCCAGCCCCGCGGGCAGCUCCAGGCUCUGCCUGCCCCCUCCAGGGUGCAUUUGAAGGGUCUGGGGUUGACCCUGUGUGUGGCUGGCAGGGAAUAAACGGGAACCAGCCCAGCCUGGGAAUUACCCUGCACUGGGCUGGGCUGCGGGCUCCUCUGCC